rnacentral:miRNA from 1 species
AGAGAGAGACACGAGAGAGAGAGGGACGAGAGAGAGAGAGAGAGAGAGACGAGAGAGAGAGACGAGAGAGAGAGAGAGACGAGAGAGAGGGACGAGAGAGAGGGACGAGAGAUGAGAGAUUUUGUUUCUGCCUGCCUGCCUCUGCUUUCCCUCCCUCCCUCCCUCCCUCCCUCCCUCCCUCC